CGCUGAACUUAAGCAUAUCAAUAAGCGGAGGAAAAGAAACUAACAAGGAUUCCCCUAGUAACUGCGAGUGAAGCGGGAUGAGCUCAAAUUUAAAAUCUGGCAGUUGUCAAAAGCUGUCCGAGUUGUAAUUUAGAGAAGUGUUUUCUGUGCCAGGCCGUGUACAAGUCUCCUGGAAUGGAGCGUCAUAGAGGGUGAGAAUCCCGUCUUUGACACGGAAUUACUGGGGCUCUGUGAUACACUCUCAAAGAGUCGAGUUGUUUGGGAAUGCAGCUCAAAAUGGGUGGUGAACUCCAUCUAAAGUUAAAUAUUGGCGAGAGACCGAUAGCGAACAAGUACCGUGAGGGAAAGAUGAAAAGCACUUUGGAAAGAGAGUGAAACAGUACGUGAAAUUGCUGAAAGGGAAACGCUUGAAGUCAGUCUCAUCUGCUAGAAUUCAGCCUUUUUUUGGUGUACUUUCUAGUUGGAUGGGCCAGCAUCACUUUUGGCUGUUGGAAAAGGGCUGGAGAAAUGUGGCACUCAUUUUAUGAGUGUGUUAUAGUCUCUUGUCAUAUACAACAGCUGGGAGUGAGGACUGCCAUUUGUAGGAUGCUGGCAUAAUGGCUUUAAACGACCCGUCUUGAAACACGGACCAAGGAGUCUAACAUGCAUGCGAGUGUUUGGGUGGUAAAACCCAUGCGCGUAAUGAAAGUGAAUGAUUAGGAAGGCUGUUUUGGCCUGCACUGAUGCCUGGACUUGAGAUUUAUCGACAGUUCUACGGUAGAGCAUGUAUGUUAGGACCCGAAAGAUGGUGAACUAUGCCUGAAUAGGGUGAAGCCAGAGGAAACUCUGGUGGAGGCUCGUAGCGAUUCUGACGUGCAAAUCGAUCGUCAAAUUUGGGUAUAGGGGCGAAAGACUAAUCGAACCAUCUAAUAACUGGUUCCUGCCAAAAUUUCCCUCAAGAA
rnacentral:rRNA from 1 species